UGAAAAGGGUGCGCGGUGGAUGCCUUGGCUUAGGACAGCGAUGAAGGACGUAACUAGCUUGCGAUAAGCUUCGGGGAGGCGGCUUGUGGCCUUUGAUCCGGAGAUCUCCGAAUGAGGAAACUCUCUCGCCUUUGGCGAGAAUCCUUCAAGUAACGUUGAGGGAAGCAUACCUCGGGAAGUGAAACAUCUCAGUACCGAGAGGAAAAGAGAACAAAUGCGAGUUGCUUUCUGUUCGCGCGUAUAGUCGUGCGAAUGGAAAGCGACUCUUGUGAUUCCCCAAGUAGCGGCGAGCGAAAAGGGAGGAGCCCAAACCAAGCAUGUACGCAAGUACGUGCUCGGGGUUGUAAGGCAGUGAUAUCGUGUUUACACGACAGGAGUUACGAAGCGAUGCGUUAGGAGAAUCUGCUGGAAAGCGGAGCCCCAGAGGGUAAUGGCCCCGUAUCCGAAAACAAAUCGCCUCUUGUGUCACUGUUCUUGAGUAGCUCGAGACACGAAUAGCUCGAGCGAAUCUGCCAGGACUAACUGGCAAGGCUACAUAUGUCCUACGACCGAUAGCGAACAAGUACCGUGAGGGAAAGGUGAAAAGAACCCCGAGAGGGGAGUGAAAUAGAACUGAAACCGCGUACUUACAAAGGGUGGCGGCGGAUUUAUUCCGUUGCCGCAUGCCUAUUGAAGAAUGAGCCGGCGAGUGUGUGUAUGUUGCGUGAGCUAAGCCCCUCCGGGGCGGAGCUUAUAGGGAAACCGAGUGUGAUAAGCGCGUUUGUAGCAUACAUACGACCCGAAGCCAGAUGAGCUUGCCAUGAGCAGGGUGAACGUCUCCGAAAGGAGGCGGGAGGCCCGAACUCAUAUGUUGUACAACGCAUUGGGAUGACUUGUGGCAAGGAGUGAAAAGCUAAUCGAAUCUGGGAAUAGCUGGUUCUCUCCGAAACAGCUUUUGGGCUGGCGUCGCGAUAUAUGUGUCUGGAGGUAGAGCACUGGAAGGGACCAACAGGGAGAAAUCUCGUGGUCCCUAUCAACCUCCGAAUGCCAGACACCUGCGCGGCAGUUAGAAGGUGGGGGCGAAGCUCCAUCGAUCGAGAAGGGAAGAGCCUAGAUCGCCAGUUAAGGCCCCAAAAUCGACAUUCAGUACAUCACAAGGAAGUGCGGACUCAUAGACAGUGAGGAUGUUGGCUUAGAAGCAGCCACCAUUCAAAGAAAGCGUAACAGCUCACUCAUCGAGAGUCCGUGCGCCGAAGAUAAUCGGGGUUAAAUGUCGUGCCGAAACUGCGGAUGAGCACAUAAUUUAUUAUGUGCUCGUGGUAGGAGAGCGUUCGUAGUGCGCUGAAGGUAAAGGGGUAACCCAUGCUGGAGCGCUACGAAGUGAGAAUGCCGGUACAAGUAACCACAAUGCGGGUGAGAACCCCGCACGUCGAAAGACCAAGGUUUCCUUAGCCAUGGUAAUCAGCUAAGGGUUAGUCGGGCCUAAGGGGAUGGUGAAAACCGCACCCGAUGGACACACGGUCAAUAUUCCGUGACCAGAGUUAGGGCGAUGGAGUGACGGACUGCUGUAUAUGCUGCCGGGGAUUGGAUCUCGGUUAUUGGUGUGAGGGCGCGCUGUAGGCAAAUCCGCAGCGCUCCGCCGAAAGGCGGGAUCCCAAGCAUUAACGCAAUUUUCUUCUACGGAGGGAGAGAGAGCAUAAAGCGCGGUCUCAAGAAAAACUUCUAGUAUUCAACUUAACUCUGUCCGUACCGCAAACCGACACAGGUGGUCAGCUCGAGUAGAGCAAGACGAACGAGUGAGAUGUCCUCAAGGAACUCGGCAAAAAAGCGGCCGUAAGUUAGCGAUAAGGCCUGCCCCGCCGCAAGGCGGGGCCGCAGUGAAAGUUUCCCUGGCAACUGUUUACCAAAAACACAGCUCCCUGCGAACUCGUAAGAGGAGGUAUAGGGGGUGACGCCUGACCAAUGCCGGAAGGUCAACCACGGUGGGUUCAUUUCGCAAGAAAUGAGCUGGACUGUGUAAGCCCCGGUGAAUGUCGGCGAUAACUAUAAUCGUCCUAAGGUGUUGGGUUUGAUCCUCGGAUCGAACCCGGCAGGACUAGGACGAUUGUAGAAAAGAUUUUGGUAAUUACGCAGAAUGCUGCCUCGUCAUGUAGUAAUGCAUGAUGGGUCCUAAAAUAAACAUGACUAUAUGCUGGGAAGCGAUUCGUAAUCGCAAUCAGCAGGGAAGACUCGUGUGCUUCGAAGCGCGCGAGAACCCUCAGAUACCAAACGUCGUGCCCCUGUUUCGCGUAAAGCUACGCAGGGUGAAGACAGAGUACUCCGUUGAAAGGAACGGAUAGCGCAAUUCCUUGUCGGGUAAAUUCCGACGUGCACGAAUGGCGUAAUGACUGGGGAACUGUCUCGAGGACUCGCUCGGUGAAAAUGCACUUCCGGUGAAGAUGCCGGAUACCUGUAGGUAGACGAAAAGACCCUAGGAGCUUUACUACAGCUUCGUAUUGGCCGUACGUGAUACAUGCGUAGCAUAGAGGGGAGAGGUUGAAGUGCCGCUUUCGGGUGGCAUGGACUCGUCAGUGAAAUACCCUUCUUGUCUCGUGUACGGUCUAACCUCUGUGGGAUCCACAGGGGGACCGUGCGUGGCGGGUAGUUUUGGUGGGGCGCUAUCCUCGAAUAGCAGCGCCCGUCCGACCAAUGUCUUAAAAAUGGAGAAUUAAAAUAAGGGGGACUGCGUGGAGAAAUCUGCGUAAGCAAUUUGGCCAAAUGCUGGAACAUCCGAGGAUCUUCAAGUACUCAUUCGCGUAAGCGAGUAGUGAAAAUCUUGAAGUGCGGACAAUCAGCAGGGAAGCUUGUUCGAGAACUGGAAGAUGGAAUAUCCAUUUUUGGGAGGACUCGCUCCUCCCCAUCUUUCAGUUCUUGAGCAGAACCCUCAGAGACUACAUGCCAGACUCGUCGAAAGACGAUGAAGAUAUAGUCCGAUCUUCGUAGCGAUACGAAGGUGUAGCAAUAACUACACAUCCAUGAACACGAAAGAAAUUCGUGAGAAAAAGAAAGAUCUUACGUUAUCCAAACGACAGCGAGAAUUGAUCGUCGGGCUUUUGCUCGGCGACGGGCAUCUUGAGACUCAAAACGGCGGCAGGACGUAUCGACUUAAAGUCGAACACGGCUCCGCCCAGCGCGAAUACCUUGAGUGGCUCGCGCAUGAAUUUCAAGAAUGGAUUCUGUCUGGUUGGUAUGAAAAGCACAAAAGAGAAAAAGUGGUGUAUGGAUUCACAACCGUGAGUCAUCCAGCACUUCGAUUUUAUGGUGCACAAUUCUAUCAAAGCGGAAAGAAGCGAAUCCCACCGCUUAUCAAGAAAUUGAUGAGCUCGCUAUCACUUGCGAUUUGGUUUCUUGACGAUGGUUCAGCAAAAUCAUCCAAGCACCGCUCGCUCGUGAUACAUUCACUCGGAUAUACAAAGAAAGAUCUUGUUCUAGUGCAAGAGGCACUUCGACACUUCGGUAUCGAAGCCGCCCUGCACAAGCAACGCAAUGGUUCAUUCCGACUGUAUCUGCCCUACGCAAGUUCGCUCAUCAUUGAGCAAUUUGUUCGGCCGAUACUUACUGAAGUGCCGUCGCUUGCUUACAAAGUGGAGAACAUCAAGCCUAAAGAGUAACGGAGGAGUUCAUCAAGGUCAGCUAGGCGCGAAUGGAAACCGUGCCGAUAGCGUAAGAGUAAAAGCUGGCUUAACUGCGAGACAUACUAGUCGAGCAGAUGCGAAAGCAGGAUCUAGUGAACCGAUGCGCCGCCUUAGACGCGGCCAGAGAUUAACGGAUAAAAGUUACCCUAGGGAUAACAGGCUGGUACCGCCCAAGCGUCCAUAGCGACGGCGGUGUUCGGCACCUCGAUGUCGGCUCACCUUAGCGCCGGGCUGGAGCAGGUCCGAAGCGUUUGGCUGUUCGCCAAUUAAAAAGGUACGCGAGCUGGGUUCAAACCGUCGUGAGACAGGUUGGUCUCCUAUCUCCUACAGGCGUUGAUUAUUGAGGAGGGUCGUCCCUAGUACGAGAGGACCGGGAUGAACUGACCUAUGGUCUGGGGGCUGUCGUGCCAACGGCACCGCCCCGUAGCUAAGUCGGGUUGCGAUAACCGCUGAAAGCAUCUAAGCGGGAAACGCGCUCCAAGAUAAGUAAUCGUUAUGAGGCCCCUCGAAGAUUACGAGGUUGAUAGGCUCUAUGUGAAAGUGCCGCAAGGCAUUGAGCAGAGGAGUACUAAUACGCCGAUAUCUCUUG
rnacentral:rRNA from 1 species